rnacentral:rRNA from 1 species
CAGUCGCCACGGUAAUACGAAGGGUGCAAGCGUUACUCGGAAUUACUGGGCGUAAAGCGUGCGUAGGUGGUGGUUUAAGUCCGUUGUGAAAGCCCUGGGCUCAACCUGGGAAUUGCAGUGGAUACUGGGUCACUAGAGUGUGGUAGAGGAUAGUGGAAUUUCCGGUGUAGCAGUGAAAUGCGUAGAGAUCGGAAGGAACAUCUGUGGCGAAGGCGACUAUCUGGGCCAACACUGACACUGAGGCACGAAAGCGUGGGAAGCAAACAGGAUUAGAUACCCCGGUAGUCCCUGUCUCUUAUAU